UGGGGAAUAUUGCACAAUGGGGCACCCACUGAUGCAGCGACGCCGCGUGAACGAAGAAGGUAUUCGUAUCGUAAAGUUCUGUCCUAUGGGAAGAUAAUGACAGUACCAUAGAAGAAAGCUCCGGCUAAAUACGUGCCAGCAGCCGCGGUAAUACGUAUGGAGCGAGCGUUGUCCGGAAUUAUUGGGCGUAAAGGGUACGCAGGCGGUUUAAUAAGUCGAAUGUUAAAGAUCGGGGCUCAACCCCGCAAAGCAUUGGAAACUGAUAAACUUGAGUAGUGGAGAGGAAAGUGGAAUUCCUAGUGUAGUGGUGAAAUACGUAGAUAUUAGGAGGAAUACCAGUAGCGAAGGCGACUUUCUGGACACAAACUGACGCUGAGGUACGAAAGCGUGGGGAGCAAACAGG
rnacentral:rRNA from 1 species